AUUGAACGCUGGCGGCAUGCCUUACACAUGCAAGUCGAACGGUAACAGGUUAAGCUGACGAGUGGCGAACGGGUGAGUAAUAUAUCGGAACGUGCCCAGUCGUGGGGGAUAACUGCUCGAAAGAGCAGCUAAUACCGCAUACGACCUGAGGGUGAAAGCGGGGGAUCGCAAGACCUCGCGCGAUUGGAGCGGCCGAUAUCAGAUUAGGUAGUUGGUGGGGUAAAGGCCCACCAAGCCAACGAUCUGUAGCUGGUCUGAGAGGACGACCAGCCACACUGGGACUGAGACACGGCCCAGACUCCUACGGGAGGCAGCAGUGGGGAAUUUUGGACAAUGGGCGCAAGCCUGAUCCAGCCAUGCCGCGUGCGGGAAGAAGGCCUCGGUGUAACCGCUUUGUCAGGGAGAAAAGGUUACUGGUUAAUACCU
rnacentral:rRNA from 1 species